CUGAAGAUCCUCAUCAUCGGCGAGAGUGGGGUGGGCAAGUCCAGCCUGCUCUUGAGGUUCACAGAUGAUACGUUUGAUCCAGAACUUGCAGCAACAAUAGCAGUUGGGGAGGAGAUGACUGCAUUGUGAAAAACCUCCAGACUGCCUGUCUGCAUUGGCUGUUGAGAAGUAAAAUGCUAAACUGUCUCUUAGGUAAAUCUCUGAAUCACGAAAAAGUUGUCAGUCCAGAACUGGAGGCACUCUGGCCUUCUGCAUAAACCUCCUACAAAUAUCAGGUUCUGGACAACCAGCACUUCUUCAGAGAUGAAUAAUCAAAAGGAAUUCAUUAAGCUUGACUGCCACAAAUGUUUGGAAA
rnacentral:lncRNA from 10 species